rnacentral:rRNA from 1 species
UACGAACCGUGCGAGCGUUGUUCGGAUUCACUGGGCUUAAAGGGCGCGUAGGCGGACAAUCAAGUCAGGGGUGAAAGCCUCCAGCUCAACUGGAGAAGUGCCUUUGAUACUGACUGUCUCGAGGGAGGUAGGGGCAUGUGGAACUUCCGGUGGAGCGGUGAAAUGCGUAGAUAUCGGAAGGAACGCCGGUGGCGAAAGCGACGUGCUGGACCUCUUCUGACGCUGAGGCGCGAAAGCUAGGGGAGCAAACGGG